rnacentral:lncRNA from 1 species
GAACUGACAACUGUCUCUCUCAAGCUGGGAUACAGACAGAGAGGCUGGGUGUCAAGGAGUCUCUCUAAAGAAAUCAUCUUUGAAGCUGCCUGACUUGGAUUAUCCUUAAGGAAAGGUUGAGUGGGAGUUCUCCUUUCACACUGGUGGACAGAUAUGGUAUUCAUUACAGGGCUAAUCUACAAGAAGCGUGGAGGUUAAAUAGAAAAUAUGAAAGAAACGUUAAAGAAUCAGCCCAAACAGGCAGCCAGUUCUAGCUCUCUGAGCAUCAUUUAAAAAUUUGGCAUGACAUGUGGAUGAUCCUUGCUAUGCAAGCAGAACUCAAGCUUCGGUGACUAUC